UGAGAGAGCGUGUCUCAACCACA
rnacentral:piRNA from 1 species